rnacentral:rRNA from 1 species
AACGCUAGCUACAGGCUUAACACAUGCAAGUCGAGGGGAAACGACAUCGAAAGCUUGCUUCCGAUGGGCGUCGACCGGCGCACGGGUGAGUAACGCGUAUCCAACCUGCCCACCACUUGGGGAUAACCUUGCGAAAGUAAGACUAAUACCCAAUGACGUCUCUAGAAGACAUCUGGAAGAGAUUAAAGAUUUAUCGGUGAUGGAUGGGGAUGCGUCUGAUUAGCUUGUUGGCGGGGUAACGGCCCACCAAGGCUACGAUCAGUAGGGGUUCUGAGAGGAAGGUCCCCCACAUUGGAACUGAGACACGGUCCAAACUCCUACGGGAGGCAGCAGUGAGGAAUAUUGGUCAAUGGGCGAGAGCCUGUACCAGCCAAGUAGCGUGCAGGAUGACGGCCCUAUGGGUUGUAAACUGCUUUUAUAAGGGAAUAAAGUGAGUCUCGUGAGACUUUUUGCAUGUACCUUAUGAAUAAGGACCGGCUAAUUCCGUGCCAGCAGCCGCGGUAAUACGGAAGGUCCGGGCGUUAUCCGGAUUUAUUGGGUUUAAAGGGAGCGUAGGCCGGAGAUUAAGCGUGUUGUGAAAUGUAGACGCUCAACGUCUGCACUGCAGCGCGAACUGGUUUCCUUGAGUACGCACAAAGUGGGCGGAAUUCGUGGUGUAGCGGUGAAAUGCUUAGAUAUCACGAAGAACUCCGAUUG